rnacentral:lncRNA from 1 species
AUGCUGAGGACGCAGCGCCGGAGAGGCAGGUGGCGGCCCCUGCGAAGAGGUGGUCCCCGCAAAGCACACGGAGACCACGAAGUUCCUUCUCGCCCACUCACAGCAAUGCUGCACGAGGUCCUUUUCUGGAAAGGUCAAAGGGACGAGAGGGGGUCUCUGCAGUGUCCUGGAUCUGGUUUCAACCUCACCUUCUCCAUGUAUGAGAAAACAAGUCACUUGGAUUCACUGUGCCUCGGUUUCCCCAGAUGGCGAGCAGGACUCAGUCUUUUGCACCUGGUCCAUCAGAGGACAAGCUUUCAUGUGUUAGCCAUCACCUCCGUCAUCACCAUCAUUGUCAUCAUCAUCGUCCUCAUCACCUCGACACACUGA